CCACCACGCGCCAAUCCCGUCGUCGCCCGUCAAUUCGGCACGCAGUUCCACCCUCGUCUCUCUCCCUGGUCCAGCAACGUCACCCAGCCCCUUAGCUUUUCCUCCCGGCGCGAAAAUGUCCUUUUGACUCCCGUCUCCGUCUUGUUGGCCCGCAGAUCUGGCAGCCCUCGGCCACGACGCUGCGAGCUCUGGCCGGCUUAACCUCGUCGCCCCCAUCCAAUAGGUGCUCGACACCGCUCCUCGGGACCGCGGCGGUCUUCUUCAUGGUCUCUUUCUCCCUUCACCUCCUACGCCAUGUAUCAGCCCCUUCCUGAAGCUCCUCCUCAUCCGUGUGCCCCCCUGAUGUCACCGAGUGGACCACGCCCACUCCCGCCUCCGCCCGCCUGUACCAGGUCCGGUCGCCUCUUCCUUUGGGCUUUGCGCAAUUUGUCGAGCAGGUCAUAUAUGUGGCGUGUGUACGUGUGCUUUUGUAAUGGAUGGUGGGAUUGUGUUCUGGUGGUUGGGGUGCAGGAUUUGCUCCUGUUGUUCAAGUUGAAUAGCGGGGAGAUGGAGGAGAUGGUGCCAUGAAGGGCUAGUGUGGUGGUGAGGUUCAAGUUCUAUAACGAGGCCAUGGUUGUUUGCAUGUCUGUUUAGUUUUUUUUUCUUUUGUAUGGUUGUUGAAAAACAAAGCCGAGCCUAUUAGUUUGGAAAAUAAAGUCAAGCCUAUGUGUUGAAAAAUAGUUUGAUUAACUAGCAAGUGGCCAUUUGCGCCGGUGAGUUGAGCUGGCUAGCUUGUGUUGAUGCAUGCAUGUUUGGUCAAGGCUAGCUAGUUGCAGCAGUUGGGAAUCCCAUAUACCUAAGAAGUUCAUCCCCACUACUAUAUUUAUCUUGCCAUGCAGCCUAGCCACCUCAUCACCCAUGCCACAUCAUUAAUUAUUGGAAAACAUUUACUUUAGAUAGUACGUACAUUCCUAGUUCUUUUUCCUUCAGUUUUGGUUCGUAGAUGUAAUUGUAAGUUUUGUAAUCUCGCUUUUGCUUUUCUUAUCAGUAUUUUGUAGUUUUGUAACAUUUAACUUGUAUGCCUAAGGCUGAAGCAGUCACUGACAUGUUAACAUCAUGUCCCGUGUGUUCUUUCUCAAAGAUGUAGAGUAGGGGUUCUUAUAGUUUGAUAAAUAUAGGCCACAUCAGAUUCUGAAGGCGGCUUUGAAAGGGGUGAGAUGAUGCUCGUCAAGACUAACUGAAAAGUUUAUUGGUAUAUUCCUUUUGUACACAGAGCAAUGUGUAGUACUCAGUCUAUUAUUUGGAGUUGCGUUCCUGCUGAUUCAUGUAACCCUGAAAAUUGCAUGUGAAGGACCAAAAGGAAUGGGAGACAGUGCUGAAGAAUCGUGAUCUAUGGCAAGGGUGAUGAUGUCUAUGGCGAUGAUUGUUAUGAUCUAUUUGGCGAUGAGCAUUAUGAUCCAUAUGGUGAUGAAGGGUGACGAGUCUAGUGAUCUUUCUUCAAGACAUUCAACAAAGUGAAAUCAUGGGGUUUUGGUCAAUCUAGCUUAUGCAUAAUGCUUGGACCAUUAUAUCUUACUUAAUUUUUUUUGCAUUUUAAACUUCCUAGAUUGUUCAUCAUGAUCAAUGUAAUUCUGAUGCAACUCUUCUGAUAUUUUGAAAGUUGUGCUAUAUAUAAUGUUACUUGGUCAUGUGUGGGCUGUGCAAUUCUGUGAUAUAUUUGAAAUGAAAAGCAAUCCUGACUAA